GUAGGGAAUAUUGCACAAUGGAGGAAACUCUGAUGCAGCGACGCCGCGUGAGUGAUGAAGGCCUUCGGGUCGUAAAGCUCUGUCGCAGGGGAAUAACACAAUGAAGGUACCCUGUAAGAAAGGAUCGGCUAACUUCGUGCCAGCAGCCGCGGUAAGACGAGGGAUCCUAGCGUUGUUCGGAAUCAUUGGGCGUAAAGCGGAUGUAGGUGGCUAUGUAAGUCAGAUGUGAAAGCCUGGGGCUCAACCCCAGAAGUGCAUUUGAUACUGCGUAGCUUGAGUGUCGGAGAGGUUACUAGAAUUGUUGGUGUAGUGGUGAAAUACGUAGAUAUCAACAGGAAUACCGGAGGCGAAGGCGGGUAACUUGCCGAACACUGACACUGAGAUCCGAAAGCGUGGGGAUCAAACAGGAUUAGAUACCCUGGUAGUCC
rnacentral:rRNA from 1 species